rnacentral:rRNA from 1 species
UACGGGGGGGGCAAGCGUUGUUCGGAAUUACUGGGCGUAAAGGGCUCGUAGGUGGCCAACUAAGUCAGACGUGAAAUCCCUCGGCUUAACCGGGGAACUGCGUCUGAUACUGGAUGGCUUGAGUUUGGGAGAGGGAUGCGGAAUUCCAGGCGUAGCGGUGAAAUGCGUAGAUAUCUGGAGGAAUACCGGUGGCGAAGGCGGCAUCCUGGACCAUUACUGACGCUGAGGCGCGAAAGCUGGGGGAGCAAACGGG